rnacentral:rRNA from 1 species
CACUUGGUGGAUGGCUAGGCUUGAGGGGCGAUGAAGGGCGUGGCAAGCUGCGAUAAGCGCUGGGGAGGUGCACGCGACUGUUGAUCCAGCGAUCCCCUAAUGGGAAUCCUCCCCGCAAGGGGAUUCACCUAGUAAUAGGUGAAGGCGAACCGCCCGAAGUGAAGCAUCUGAGUAGGGCGAGGAAAAGAAAUCAACCGAGAUUCUCUAAGUAGCGGCGAGCGAAAGGAGAAGAGCCCAAACUGAACCUUUUGCAGUAAUGCAAAAGGGAUGUGGUGUAUGCUAGUAGCAAUACAUGCCUUUUCCUCUAGCUGAAUUACCUUGGAAUAGGUAGGCAUAGAGGGUGACACCCCCGUAAGCGAAAGGGGAAGAGGUAUGGCUACUAGUUAGAGUAGCCGGCCUUGGCAGUGGCUGGCGAAGAUGGGGGAAAGUAGCCUCCAAGGCUAAAUACCUCUCAAGACCGAUAGCGCACUAGUACCGUGAGGGAAAGCUGAAAAGUACCCCGGAAGGGGGGUGCAAAGAGCCUGAAACCAAGUGGUUACAGACGUGCACCGCUCGGAAGGAGCUUCGAAGUUGGAAACGGCGCGCAAGCGUACGCCCAACAGUAGUAGAGGCACUAGAGUGGUGCGUUCCGUCUAGAAACACGGACCAGCGAGUUUACUGCCAUGGCGAGCCUAAGUCUAUGGACGGAGGCGAAGGGAAACCGAACUCUCGCAGCUCCGCAAGGAGUUAGGAGAGGGGUCUGAAAGGGCCCUAGUCAUGGCGGUAAGGCUAGAAACCGAGCGAUCUAGCCCUGGACAAGGCGAAGCCAGGCGAAAGCCUGGUGGAGGCCUGCAGCGGUUCUGACGUGCAGAUCGUUCGUCUGAUCUGGGGCUAGGGGCCAAAAACCAAUCUAGCUCGGUGAUCGCUAGUUCCCACCGAAGCGGAUCGCAGUCCUACCUGGGCUGAGAUGGCUAGCGCUGUAGAGCACCGAUGGGGUAGCAAGGGCUCGAAAGGGCUCACUACCCUUUCGAACUCCGAAGGUGCUAGCAUCGUAGAAGCCCAGAUGCGGGUUUGUGUGGGGUAAGCCCCACAACCGAGAGGGGGACAACCCGGACUGGAGUUAAGGUCCCGAAAUGUUAGCUAAGUGUCAAACGAAAGGGCGUCUCCGAGCCUAGACAGCAGGAAGGUAGGCUUAGAAGCAGCCAUCCUUUAAAGAGUGCGUAACAGCUCACCUGCCGAGCUCGGGGGCCCCGAAGAUGGACGGGGCUAAAGCUAACUACCGAUACUCCAGAUCUCUCAUAUGAGAGCGUGGUAGGUGGGCGUGGUGCCUGGUGAGAAGCUGGGUUGUGAAAUCCAGUGGACCGGGUUCCAUUGUAGAUGCUGGUGGUAGUAACAGCAUAGCCGGGUGAGAAUCCCGGUCGCCGUAUGGGCAAGGGUUUCCCGGCAAUGCGUCGUCAGCCGGGAGUUAGCCGAUCCUAAGGAUAACCUCAACAGAGUUAUCCGAAAGGGAAACUGGUUAAUAUUCCAGUGCCUUGGAAGCAUCGUUACUAUCUUGGUAUAUCGCUUCAGGAUAAGGCAAGCAGAACUGUCGUUCUGUUUAACUUACCAAGAGCAAGGGAGUGUCGUAAUGACGAGAACUUGCUCGAGGAAGGAAUAGCCUUGCGUUAGCAGGGUUUGCCUGAUUCCUGGAGACAGUGAAAGUAUGCCAAGAGAGAUGCUUCCAAGAUCGUACCGAGAACCGACACAAGUGCCCUGGCUGAGUAGGCCAAGGCGUAUCGGGUAUACCGCAGGCGAGGGAACUCGGCAAAUUAGCCCCGUACCUUCGGUAUAAGGGGUGCCUGCAGUCUUUACGAGGAGUAGGGACUGCAGGUCGCAGUGACAAGGGGGUCCCGACUGUUUAAUAAAAACACAGGCGACCGCAAGCCCGAAAGGGUUAGUAUGGUCGUCGAAUCCUGGCCAGUGGCGGUACCUAAAACCUGGGUACAACCGGGCUAAGGGCCGCUAAACGCCGGGAGUAACUCUGACUCUCUUAAGGUAGCCAAAUGCCUUGUCGGGUAAGUUCCGACGUGCAUGAAUGGAACAACGAGGGCCCUACUGUCCCCGUCUGCAACCCGGUGAACCCACAUAACGUGGACGAACAGUCCACGGACUUCCAUCGGGGAGAGAAGACCCUGUGGAGCUUUACUGCAGCCUGUUGCUGCGGUAUGGUUGUGGAUACAGAGCGUAGCUGGGAGCCGUCGAAGGUGCCUCUCCGGAGGCACUGGAGGCGCAAGUGUAACACCAGCUAUCCAUGACCGUAUCGCUAACCUCGCAAGAGGGACAACGGCAGGUGGGCAGUUUGGCUGGGGCGGCACCCCCUUGAAAAGAUAGCGAGGGGGCCCAAAGGUCGGCUCAGGCGGGUCAGAACUCCGCCGGUGCGGGUAAGGCCAAAAGCCGGCCUGACUGGAUUCCUAAACGCAGGGGAUUCAGAGGCGAAAGCCAGGCCUAGCGAUCCAUCAUGUCCCCACUAUUGGGGGCUGGUGGUGACAGAAAAGUUACCCUAGGGAUAACAGGCUCGUCGCGGGCGAGAGCUCCCAUCGACCCCGCGGUUUGGUACCUCGAUGUCGGCUCUUCCUAUCCUGGUCCUGCAGCAGGGACCAAGGGUGAGGCUGCUCGCCUAUCAAAAGGGAACGUGAGCUGGGUUUAGACCGUCGUGAGACAGGUCGGUCUCUGCCUGAUGGAAGCGUGGUAGCCUGAGGGGAAGUUGCCCUCAGUACGAGAGGAACGGGGCAGCGUGGCCUCUGGCGGAUCGGUUGUCUGACAAGGCAAGCCGAGCAGCUAAGCCACCUGGGAUAACCCCUGAAUGCAUCUAAGGGGGAAGCCCUUCCCAAGAAAAGGCUACCUUCCUUAUGGUGAAGGGUUGCCAAAGAAGAUGGCGUUGAUGGGGUGGAGGUGUAAGCUGCGAGCCUUCGGGCGAGUAGUUCAGCCUGCCACUACCAAUCACCCAAA